UGAUCAGAGGAGCUGGGCUCCUUGCGAGCUCAACCUAUUCUCAAACUUUCAAUGGGUGAGACGUCUCGCUGGCUUCACUGCAGCGACGACUCUGAAUCCGAGUGCCCAGUGGGCCACUUUUGGUAAGCAGAACUGGCGAUGCGGGAUGAACCGCAUGUCGAGUUAAGGUGCCUAAGCGGACGCAAAUCAGAUACCAUGAAAGGUGUUGAUUGCUCACGACAGCAGGACGGUGGCCAUGGAAGUCGGCAUCCGCUAAGGAGUGUGUAACAACUCACCUGCCGAAGCAAUCAGCCCUGAAAAUGGAUGGCGCUAAAGCGUUCCACCGAUACUCGACCGUCGUCGGCACGCGACCGGCCUUCCCUGUGCCGGUCUCAGGCCACGACGAGUAGGGCGGCGCGGCGGUGAGCGUCGAAGGCGUAGCCGUGAGGCUAGCUGGAGCCGCCGUCGGUGCAGAUCUUGGUGGUAGUAGCAAAUACACAAGCAAGAUCCUUGUGGACCGAUGUGGAGAAGGGUUCCGCGCGAACAGUACUUGGACGUGGGUGAGUCGGCCCUAAGCCAACGGGUAAUUCCCGCAUCCCG
rnacentral:rRNA from 1 species